GAUUAACGCUGGCGGCGUGCCUAACACAUGCAAGUCGAGCGGCAGCGAGUUUUACACUGAAUUCUGGAAGCUUCUAGUUGAAAGAGAAGAUUUAUUCAAGAAUUUUGUGUAGAAUGUCGGCGAGCGGCGGACGGCUGAGUAACGCGUGGGAACGUACCCCAAAGUGAGGGAUAACGCAUCGAAAGGUGUGCUAAUACCGCAUAUGGUCUUCGGAUUAAAGCCUUCGGGCGCUUUGGGAACGGCCUGCGUAAGAUUAGAUAGUUGGUGGGGUAAUGGCCUACCAAGUCGACGAUCUUUAACUGGUUUGAGAGGAUGAUCAGUCAGACUGGAACUGAGACACGGUCCAGACUCCUACGGGAAGCAGCAGUGAGGAAUCCUCCACAAUGGGCGAAAGCCUGAUGGAGCAACGCCGCGUGCAGGAUGAAGGCCUUCGGGUUGUAAACUGCUUUUAUAAGUGAGGAUUGUGACAGUAACUUAUGAAUAAGGAUCGGCUAACUACGUG
rnacentral:rRNA from 1 species